rnacentral:rRNA from 1 species
CGCGUAGGCGGUCUGUUAAGUCAGCUGUGAAAGCCCCGGGCUUAACCUGGGAACUGCAGUUGAUACUGACAGACUGGAAUGCGGGAGAGGGAGGUAGAAUUCCAUGUGUAGCGGUGAAAUGCGUAGAUAUAUGGAGGAAUACCAGUGGCGAAGGCGGCCUCCUGGCCUGACAUUGACGCUGAGGUGCGAAAGCGUGGGGAGCAAACA